AUUGAACGCUGGCGGCAGGCCUAACACAUGCAAGUCGAACGAGUGGCGGACGGGUGAGUAAUGUCUGGGAAACUGCCCGAUGGAGGGGGAUAACUACUGGAAACGGUAGCUAAUACCGCAUCCCAUCGGAUGUGCCCCGAUGGGAUUAGCUAGUAGGUGGGGUAACGGCGCACCUAGGCGACGAUCCCUAGCUGGUCGGAGAGGAGGACCAGCCACACUGGAACUAGGACGCGGUCCAGACUCCUACGGGAGGCAGCAGUGGGGAAUAUUGCACAAUGGGCGCAAGCCUGAUGCAGCCAUGCCGCGUGUAUGAAGAAGUCCUUCGGGUUGUAAAGUACUUUCAGCGGGGAGGCGUUACCCGCAGAAGAAGCACCGGCUAACUCCGUGCCAGCAGCCGCGGUAAUUC
rnacentral:rRNA from 1 species